GACGAACGCUGGCGGCGUGCUUAACACAUGCAAGUCGAACGAUGAAGCCUAGCUUGCUAGGUGGAUUAGUGGCGAACGGGUGAGUAAUACGUGAGUAACCUACCUUUAACUCUGGGAUAAGCCUGGGAAACUGGGUCUAAUACCGGAUACGACCAAUCUCCGCAUGGGGUGUUGGUGGAAAGCGUUAUGUAGUGGUUAUAGAUGGGCUCACGGCCUAUCAGCUUGUUGGUGAGGUAACGGCUCACCAAGGCGACGACGGGUAGCCGGCCUGAGAGGGUGACCGGCCACACUGGGACUGAGACACGGCCCAGACUCCUACGGGAGGCAGCAGUGGGGAAUAUUGCACAAUGGGCGCAAGCCUGAUGCAGCGACGCCGCGUGAGGGAUGACGGCCUUCGGGUUGUAAACCUCUGUUAGCAGGGAAGAAGAGAAAUUGACGGUACCUGCAGAGAAAGCGCCGGCUAACUACGUGCCAGCAGCCGCGGUAAUACGUAGGGCGCGAGCGUUGUCCGGAAUUAUUGGGCGUAAAGAGCUUGUAGGCGGUUUGUCGCGUCUGCUGUGAAGGCCGGGGCUUAACCCCGUGUAUUACAGUGGGUACGGGCAGACUAGAGUGCAGUAGGGGAGACUGGAAUUCCUGGUGUAGCGGUGGAAUGCGCAGAUAUCAGGAGGAACACCGAUGGCGAAGGCAGGUCUCUGGGCUGUAACUGACGCUGAGAAGCGAAAGCAUGGGGAGCGAACAGGAUUAGAUACCCUGGUAGUCCAUGCCGUAAACGUUGGGCACUAGGUGUGGGGAACAUUCCACGUUUUCCGCGCCGUAGCUAACGCAUUAAGUGCCCCGCCUGGGGAGUACGGCCGCAAGGCUAAAACUCAAAGAAAUUGACGGGGGCCCGCACAAGCGGCGGAGCAUGCGGAUUAAUUCGAUGCAACGCGAAGAACCUUACCAAGGCUUGACAUAUACUGGACCGCAUCAGAGAUGGUGUUUCCCUUCGGGGCUGGUAUACAGGUGGUGCAUGGUUGUCGUCAGCUCGUGUCGUGAGAUGUUGGGUUAAGUCCCGCAACGAGCGCAACCCUCGUUCUAUGUUGCCAGCACGUUAUGGUGGGGACUCAUAGGAGACUGCCGGGGUCAACUCGGAGGAAGGUGGGGAUGACGUCAAAUCAUCAUGCCCCUUAUGUCUUGGGCUUCACGCAUGCUACAAUGGCCGGUACAGAGGGUUGCGAUACUGUGAGGUGGAGCUAAUCCCUAAAAGCCGGUCUCAGUUCGGAUUGGGGUCUGCAACUCGACCCCAUGAAGUCGGAGUCGCUAGUAAUCGCAGAUCAGCAACGCUGCGGUGAAUACGUUCCCGGGCCU
rnacentral:rRNA from 1 species